AUCCAUUCUGGCCUUUUGGCUUAGAUCAAGUGUAGUAUCUGUUCUUAUCAGUGUAAUUACUGGUAUAUUCUCAUCGAGAAUAUCAAUUAAUUACUCUUAUCUUUGCAAUGCCCCCAGUCAUUACCUGGCUUGCCGGACUGAUUGGGACGAUGGCCUCGGGCUUACACUACUCCCUUGUGCUGUCAGGCAAU
rfam:Puccinia sorghi strain RO10H11247 Scaffold_205, whole genome shotgun sequence.